CAUUUUCUAAAUUGAGAUAUAGUUGCAUAAUAUUAUACAAGUUAUAAGUGUACAAAAUUGUGAUUCACAAUUUUAAAGGCUAUACUCCAUUUAUAGUUAUUAUAAAAUAUUUGCUAUAUUCUCU